AUUGAACGCUGGCGGCAGGCCUAACACAUGCAAGUCGAGCGGAGCGGCGGACGGGUGAGUAAUGCCUAGGAAUCUGCCUGGUAGUGGGGGAUAACGUCCGGAAACGGGCGCUAAUACCGCAUACUAUCAGAUGAGGCUAGGUCGGAUUAGCUAGUUGGUGGGGUAAAGGCCUACCAAGGCGACGAACCGUAACUGGUCUGAGAGGAGGAUCAGUCACCCUGGAAGUGGGACAGGGUCCUGACUCCUACGGAGGGCAGCAUUGGGGAACAUUGGACAUUGGGCGAAAGCCUGAUCCUGCCAUGCCGCGUGUGUGAAGAAGGUCUUCGGAUUGUAAAGCACUUUAAGUUGGGAGGCGUUACCAACAGAAUAAGCACAGGCUAACUCCGUGCCAGCAGCCGCGGUAAUAC
rnacentral:rRNA from 1 species